rnacentral:rRNA from 1 species
GGGUAAAAUCUUAAGAAUUCGGCAGGAACCCCGGUGGCGAAGGCGUUUUCCUGGGCUGGACCUGACGCUGAGGCUCGAAAGCCAGGGGAGGGAACGGGAUUAGAUACCCCGGUAGUCCUGGCCCUAAACGAUGCUCACUAGGUGUGGGGUGCGUAGAGCACUCCGUGCUGAAGCAAACGCGAUAAGUGAGCCGCCUGGGGAGUACGCCCGCAAGGGUGAAACUCAAAGGAAUUGACGGGGGCCCGCGCAAGCGGUGGAGCGUGUGGUUUAAUUCGAUGCUAAGCGAAGGACCUUACCAGGGCUUGACAUGCUGGUGGUACUGAACCGAAAGGGGAAGGACCCACCGUUAGGUGGGAGCCAGCACAGGUGGUGCACGGCCGUCGUCAGCUCGUGCCGUGAGGUGUUGGGUUAAGUCCCGCAACGAGCGCAACCCCUGCCCCUAGUUGCCAGCGGUUAGGCCGGGCACUCUAGGGGGACCGCCGCCGACGAGGCGGAGGAAGGGGGGGAUGACGUCAGGUAUCGUGCCCCUUAUGUCCUGGGCGACACACGCGCUACAAUGGGACGGACAGCGGGGAGCGAGGCAGCGAUGCUGAGCAAAUCCCUGAAACCGUUCCUCAGUUCGGAUUGCAGGCUGCAACCCGCCUGCAUGAAGCCGGAAUCGCUAGUAAUCGCGGAUCAGCCAUGCCGCGGUGAAUACGUUCCCGGGCCUUGUACACACCGCCCGUCAAGCCACCCGAGUUGGCAACACCUGAAGACGGGUGUCCCAACCGAAAGGAGGGAGCCCGUUUAAGGUGGGGCUGGCGAGGGGGGCUAAGUCGUAACAAGGUAACCGU